rnacentral:rRNA from 1 species
GAGCUUACUGCAGUCGAGCGGCAGCACAGAAACCUUGCUCUCUUGGCGGCGAGUGGCAGACGGGUGAAUAAUAUAUCGGAACGUGCCCUGUAGCGGGGGAUAACUACUCAAAAGAGUGGCUAAUACCGCAUACGCCCUACAGGGGAAAGGGGGGGAUCGCAAGACCUCUCCCUAUUGGAUCUGCCGAUAUCGGAUUAUCUAGUUGGUGGGGUAAAGGCUCACCAAGGCAACGAUCCGUACUGGUUUGAGAGGACGACCAGCCACACUGGGACUGAGACACGGCCCACACUCCUACGGGAGGCACAGUGGGGAAUUUUGGACAAUGGGGGAAACCCUGAUCCAUCCGUCCCGCGUGUAUGAUGAAGGCCUUCGGGUUGUAAAGUACUUUUGGCAGAGAAGAAAAGGUAUCCCCUAAUACGGGAUACUGCUGACGGUAUCUGCAGAAUAAGCACCGGCUAACUACGUGCCAGCAGCCGCGGUAAUACGUAGGGUGCAAGCGUUAAUCGGAAUUACUGGGCGUAAAGCGUGUGUAGGCGGUUCGGAAAGAAAAUGUGAAAUCCCAGGGCUCAACCUUGGAACUGCAUUUUUAACUGCCGAGCUAGAGUAUGUCAGAGGGGGGUAGAAUUCCACGUGUAGCAGUGAAAUGCGUAAUAUGUGGAGAAUACCGAUGGCGAAGCGCCCCCCUGGGAUAAUACUGACGCUCAUACACGAAAGCGUGGGGAGCAAACAGGAUUAUACCCUGGUAGUCCACGCUCUAAACAUGUCAACUAGCUGUUGGGGCCGUUGGCCUUAUACGCACUAACGCGUGAAUUCACCCCUGGGGAGUACGUCCAAAUUAAACUCAAAGAAUUGAGGACCCCACAAGCGGUGGAUGAUGUGGAUUAUUUCGAUCACCAAAAACCCUUCCUACCCUUUGAUGUCUGGAAAUCCAAAAUUUGGUGCUCCAAGAAAGAACAAUGGCUGCAUGGCUGUCCACUCGUUGAAUGUGGUUAUCCCAACAACCCCUUCAUUUGCCUGAUAACUGCGAAGAGGGAGUCACCCCCUUUGGGCUAGUGGGAGCCCACCAGCGA